rnacentral:rRNA from 1 species
CUACGGGUCGCUGCAGUGAGGAAUUUUGCGCAAUGGGGGUAACCCUGACGCAGCAACGCCGCGUGAGUGAUGAAGGCUUUCGGGUCGUAAAGCUCUGUCAAGUGGGAAGAAUAUACGAAAUGCUGAUACCAUUUUGUACUGACGGUACCACUGAAGGAAGCACCGGCUAACUCCGUGCCAGCAGCCGCGGUAAUACGGGGGGUGCAAGCGUUAUUCGGAAUUAUUGGGCGUAAAGAGCACGUAGGCGGCCGCUUAAGUCAGAUGUGAAAGCCCGGGGCUCAACCCCGGAAGUGCAUUUGAAACUAAGUGGCUUGAGUAUGGGAGAGGGAAGUGGAAUUCCUGGUGUAGAGGUGAAGUUCGUAGAUAUCAGGAGGAACACCGGUGGCGAAGGCGACUUCCUGGACCAAUACUGACGCUGAGGUGCGAAGGCGUGGGGAGCAAACAGGAUUAGAUACCCGGGUAGUC